UUAACGACACAACACCGAGCAAGGCGUUCUAAAGCUGAAAAGCAAUGAAGCCUUUGCCGUGGCACUAACGCCACCGGGUAAGGUUGGAAACGGCAUUACCUCCCCACUUGGAAAGGUGAAUUAUGUUAACUGAC
rnacentral:ncRNA from 2 species